rnacentral:rRNA from 1 species
AGAGUUUGAUCCUGGCUCAGAACGAACGCUGGCGGCAUGCCUAACACAUGCAAGUCGAACGAGACCUUCGGGUNUAGUGGCGCACGGGUGCGUAACGCGUGGGAAUNUGCCCUUGGGUUCGGGAUAACAGUUGGAAACGACUGCUAAUACCGAAUGAUGACUUCGGUCCAAAGAUUUAUCGCCCAGGGAUGAGCCCGCGUCGGAUUAGCUUGUUGGUGAGGUAAAAGCUCACCAAGGCGACGAUCCGUAGCUGGUNUGAGAGGAUGAUCAGCCACACUGGGACUGAGACACGGCCCAGACUCCUACGGGAGGCAGCAGUGGGGAAUAUUGGACAAUGGGCGAAAGCCUGAUCCAGCAAUGCCGCGUGAGUGAUGAAGGCCUUAGGGUUGUAAAGUUUUUUACCCGGGCAGAU